CAGUGGAGUUAAAGUGUACAACUGACUUGUGUGGAAAAUCUUUUACCCAGACUGGACACUUAAAAACACACCAACUCGUUCACAGUGGAGUUAAAGCUUACAACUGUGACUUGUGUGGAAAAUCUUUUCCUCGUGCUGGAAGCCUGAAAAGACACCAAGUCAUCCACAGUGGAGUUAAACCGUUCAGGUGUGAUCAGUGUGGUAAAACUUUUGCUCACAGUAGCCAGUUACAGUGUCAUCAAGUUACCCACUCUGGAAUUAAGCUGUACAGCUGUGACAUUUGUGGAAAAACUUUCAGUUGUGUAGAGAGCCGAAAUAGACACCUACGGAUUCACACUGGACAUAAUGUUUGCUUCUGUGAUCAGUGUGGCAAAGUGUUUACAUCAGAUGCAAAGUUACAAGACCACAUGUUUACCCACACUGAGGAGAGACCUUAUAAAUGUGACCUGUGUGAUAAGACUUUUAAAGCUCCACGUUACCUGAAAAAACACCAAGAGAUCCACUCCAGGAAGAAACUCUACAGGUGCAGUUACUGUGAGAAGCAGAGCGACACAGAUGGAUCCAGUUCUCAACCCUGUCGUCACUGUGGUGGUGGGAAAGAGUUUCGCUGUGACCUUUGUGGAAAUACUUUUAAUCAGCAACGAAACCUAAAAAUGCAUCAACGCAGACACACUGGAGACAAAAUGAACUACUGCAAAGAAUGUGGGAAAGGAUUCCCCACACCAAGUGAUUUAAAAAAACACGAAAUCUUCCACAGUGGUGUUAAAAAGCACAUUUGUGACCAGUGUGGGUCAUCCUUCACCACUGCAGGUGAGGUUAAAAGUCAUAAACGCGUCCACACAAGAGAGAAACCAUACAAGUGCAAACACUGUGACAGAAGCUUUUCACAACCAGGAACUCGUAACAAACAUGAAAACAGACACAUUGAAGGGAACUGCAGCUGUGACCAGUGUGACAAGAGUUUUAAGAAUCUCACUACAUACUCCGAACACAAACGAUCCCACGCUGUAAAUAAACUGUUUCACUGUUACCAGUGUGCAAAAACAUUCACUUCAUUGUCUGCUCUGUGCAAACAUCAGCGUGAUCAUGAAAUCAUUCCCAUAAAUGGAUCACAAUGAAUCUGCAGAGACAGAAAGAUCCUCUUCUGGUUUUAGGGUCAGACUUAAAAACCUUGAGAUCAGGCUCCACAGAGUUCAGAUGGAAUUUCCUAUAAAGAGUGUCAGCUGAUGUCAGACUUGGAUCUGAUGGCGAAGCUCUGAUUUCUGGACCUGCAGUGAAUAAUCACUGAAUGUUUAAUUUGUCAAGUUGUUAGUAUAGAUAUGCACAUCAAUUUUCUGUCUUUUAAUUUUUCUUAAUGAGAUAAGAUAACCUUUAUUAGUCCCACGCGUGGGAAAUUUUAUUGCUCUAAAAUGUUAUCCCUGUUACAUUCAAAUAUUUCAAAUUUUCCUUCAGGAAACAAUAGUGUUUAGUAGUAGUACUUGUAAUAUAAUUCUAUAGAAAUAUCUUUUAUGUCCAGUUACUAUUACAGCAAAAGUUCGAACUUCAUGUUUAAAGAAGAACACUCCAAUAAUCUAAUAAGUUGUUCAAUAUUUUUCUAGUUUCAUAUUUUCAUUGUUUUUGAAGUCUUUAUUUCUAUUUUACUUUUUAAAAUUCUGUUUGAAUCUGAAUUGGCUUUGGCUGCAUUUCAACGCAAUCAUUUAUAAAGAAAUUUAUACCACAAGGUGGAGCAGUGAGUCUAUUCAUGCUUUAUUUAAUCAAGCAAAGAACACAUUCAUAUAUAUAGUGUUGGUCUGCAGAGGGUAAAGCAUUUUUAGAAAAUUUGGAUAAAGCAUCAAAGAA